rnacentral:rRNA from 1 species
UACAGAGGGUGCGAGCGUUGUUCGGAAUUACUGGGCGUAAAGCGCGCGCAGGCGGCCUUUUAAGUCUGCUGGUGAAAUGCCGGGGCUCAACCCCGUGCCCGCCACAGAUACUGGGAGGCUGGAGACGAGUAGAGGCAAGCGGAAUUCCGGGUGUAGCGGUGGAAUGCGUAGAGAUCCGGAGGAAGACCGGUGGCGAAGGCGGUCUGCUGGGCAGUUUCUGACACUGAGGCGCGACAGCGUGGGGAGCAAACAGG